rnacentral:rRNA from 1 species
UUGAACGCUGGCGGCAUGCCUAACACAUGCAAGUCGAACGGAAACGAUGGGAGCUUGCUCCCAGGCGUCGAGUGGCGGACGGGUGAGUAACACUUGGGAAUCUGCCCAGUAUGGGGGACAACAUUCGGAAACGGAUGCUAAUACCGCAUACGCACUACGGUGGAAAGUGGGGGAUCUUCGGACCUCACGCUAUUGGAUGAGCCCAAGUCGGAUUAGCUUGUUGGUGAGGUAAUAGCUCACCAAGGCGACGAUCCGUAGCUGGUCUGAGAGGACGAUCAGCCACACUGGGACUGAGACACGGCCCAGACUCCUACGGGAGGCAGCAGUGGGGAAUAUUGGACAAUGGGCGCAAGCCUGAUCCAGCAAUGCCGCGUGUGUGAAGAAGGCCUGCGGGUUGUAAAGCACUUUCAGUAGAGAAGAAAAGCCUAGGGUUAAUACCCCUGAGUCUUGACGUAACCUACAGAAGAAGCACCGGCUAACUCCGUG